rnacentral:misc_RNA from 1 species
CUGAGUCUUAUCUCGAAACCCUUUGUGAACCUUUAUAACCUGUUGCUUCGGCGGCGCGGCCCCCGGGUCGUGCCCGCCGGUAUCAUCAGAAUCUCUGUUCGAACCCGACGAUACUUCUGAGUGUUCUAAGCGAACUGUUA